rnacentral:tRNA from 1 species
CGGGGUGUAGCUCAGCCUGGUAGAGCGCUAGCUUUGGGAGCUAGAAGCCGAAGGUUCAAAUCCUUUCGCCCCGACCA